ACCCUUUUAACUCAAUGGUAGAGUAACGCCAUGGUAAAGUAAGUCAUGGGUUCAAAUCCGAUAAGGGGCU
rnacentral:tRNA from 1 species